rnacentral:tRNA from 1 species
GCUGGGGUGGCCGAGCGGUCUAAGGCGGCACUGCCCAUCGGUAGCGCUAAGGGCCGCAGUGGGUUUGCAGAAACCCGUUAUCUCGCGGGUUCGAAUCCCGCCCCCAGCU